GAUGAACGCUGGCGGCGUGCCUAAUACAUGCAAGUCGAGCGAACGGACGAGAAGCUUGCUUCUCUGAUGUUAGCGGCGGACGGGUGAGUAACACGUGGAUAACCUACCUAUAAGACUGGGAUAACUUCGGGAAACCGGAGCUAAUACCGGAUAAUAUUUUGAACCGCAUGGUUCAAAAGUGAAAGACGGUCUUGCUGUCACUUAUAGAUGGAUCCGCGCUGCAUUAGCUAGUUGGUAAGGUAACGGCUUACCAAGGCGACGAUGCAUAGCCGACCUGAGAGGGUGAUCGGCCACACUGGAACUGAGACUCGGUCCAGACACCUACGGGAGGCCGCAGUAGGGAAUCUUACGCGAUGGGCGAGAGCCUGACGGAGCAACGCCGCGUGAGUGAUGAAGGUCUUCGGAUCGGAAAACUCUGUUAGUAGGAAAGAACAUAUGUGUUAGUAACUGUGCACAUCUUGACGGUACCUAAUCAGAAAGCCACGGCUAACUACGUG
rnacentral:rRNA from 1 species